GCUAAUAUUAGUUUGUAGUUAUUGCCCCUCUUGUGUUCUGUUUAGAAUAGGAGGCCCCCUGGCUGUGUUUUGCUGCUUGUGCCUAAGGUUGUGAAGAGGAGGAAGUCUCUGGCUGGGGGUCGAUGCUUGUAAUAAAUGUGUCCCUUCUCCCCCUAUGAUGAAGACGCCUUACCAGGGCUGCACAUCUGCUGGCUGAAGGAGAUCCCUGUGCAUGCACCUGGUGAGUUCCUGCUGCUGCUGGCGGAAGAAGCACAGACAACACCCCCACAGGACCUUGUUUCUGCUCCAUAAUGUCAAUAAAUGCUAAUUAACUGUC